UUUAUUGGAGAGUUUGAUCCUGGCUCAGGAUGAACGCUGGCGGCGUGCCUAAUACAUGCAAGUCGAGCGAAUGGAUUAAGAGCUUGCUCUUAUGAAGUUAGCGGCGGACGGGUGAGUAACACGUGGGUAACCUGCCCAUAAGACUGGGAUAACUCCGGGAAACCGGGGCUAAUACCGGAUAACAUUUUGAACCGCAUGGUUCGAAAUUGAAAGGCGGCUUCGGCUGUCACUUAUGGAUGGACCCGCGUCGCAUUAGCUAGUUGGUGAGGUAACGGCUCACCAAGGCAACGAUGCGUAGCCGACCUGAGAGGGUGAUCGGCCACACUGGGACUGAGACACGGCCCAGACUCCUACGGGAGGCAGCAGUAGGGAAUCUUCCGCAAUGGACGCACGGCUGACGGAGCAACGCAACGCGGCAGGGAAGCAGGCCUUCGGGUCGUCAGAGUUUUGUGUUUGGGAAACCCAAGUACAAGCGGAAU
rnacentral:rRNA from 1 species